UGGGUUGUAGCUUAGCGGUAUAGCGCUCACCUAGCAAGUGCCAGGUCUUGAGUUCAAUCCUCAGCACCACAU
rfam:Ictidomys tridecemlineatus contig043488, whole genome shotgun sequence.